rnacentral:rRNA from 1 species
GAUGAACGCUGGCGGCGUGCCUAAUACAUGCAAGUCGAGCGAACGGACGAGAAGCUUGCUUCUCUGAUGUUAGCGGCGGACGGGUGAGUAACACGUGGAUAACCUACCUAUAAGACUGGGAUAACUUCGGGAAACCGGAGCUAAUACCGGAUAAUAUUUUGAACCGCAUGGUUCAAAAGUGAAAGACGUUCUUGCUGUCACUUAUAGAUGGAUCCGCGCUGCAUUAGCUAGUUGGUAAGGUAACGGCUUACCAAGGCAACGAUGCAUAGCCGACCUGAGAGGGUGAUCGGCCACACUGGAACUGAGACACGGUCCAGACUCCUACGGGAGGCAGCAGUAGGGAAUCUUCCGCAAUGGGCGAAAGCCUGACGGAGCAACGCCGCGUGAGUGAUGAAGGUCUUCGGAUCGUAAAACUCUGUUAUUAGGGAAGAACAUAUGUGUAAGUAACUGUGCACAUCUUGACGGUACCUAAUCAGAAAGCCACGGCUAACUACGUG